UGGGGAAUCUUCCGCAAUGGACGAAAGUCUGACGGAGCAACGCCGCGUGAGUGAAGAAGGCCCUCGGGUCGUAAAGCUCUGUCUUCAGGGACGAAUGUGCAGAUUGUGAAUAAUGGUUUGCAAUGACGGUACCUGAGGAGGAAGCCACGGCUAACUACGUGCCAGCAGCCGCGGUAAUACGUAGGUGGCAAGCGUUGUCCGGAUUUAUUGGGCGUAAAGCGCGCGCAGGCGGGAUGAUAAGUCUGUCUUAAAAGUUCGGGGCUCAACCCCGUGAUGGGAUGGAAACUAUCAUUCUUGAGUAUCGGAGAGGAAAGUGGAAUUCCUAGUGUAGCGGUGAAAUGCGUAGAUAUUAGGAGGAACACCAGUGGCGAAGGCGACUUUCUGGACGAUGUCUGACGCUGAGGCGCGAAAGCCAGGGUAGUGAACGGG
rnacentral:rRNA from 1 species